rnacentral:rRNA from 1 species
UACAGAGGUCUCAAGCGUUGUUCGGAUUCAUUGGGCGUAAAGGGUGCGUAGGCGGCGCAGUAAGUCGGGUGUGAAAUUUCGAGGCUUAACUUCGAAACUGCAUUCGAUACUGCCGUGCUUGAGGACUGGAGAGGAGACUGGAAUUUACGGUGUAGCGGUGAAAUGCGUAGAUAUCGUAAGGAAGACCAGUGGCGAAGGCGGGUCUCUGGACAGUUCCUGACGCUGAGGCACGAAGGUCAGGGGAGCAAACGGG